AUGGGUUGCUCCUUUCCACUUGACUAUGUCCAUUGCCCACAAGUUCACACUGCUCGUUGCGCCUAUAUAAACACAUGCUUCCCCUGCAUACUCAAACCAUCACUCACACACAGGAAAACAAGAGAAAAGAAGAGCGAAAGAAGCUCAAAUCGAAUGGCGUCGUCCCCUUCCUUCCUUCUCCUCGCCGCUCUUCUUGCCUUGGUCUCAUGGCAGGCUGUUGCCUCCGACCCUGGCCCUCUCCAGGACUUCUGUGUCGCCGACAUGAAUUCACCAGUACGUGUCAAUGGGUUUGUGUGCAAGAACCCAGUGGAGGUCAACGCUGAUGACUUCUUCAAGGCAGCCGCCCUCGACAAGCCUAGGGUGACCAACAAGGUUGGAUCCAACGUCACUUUGAUCAACGUCAUGCAGAUUGCUGGACUCAACACCCUCGGCAUCUCAAUUGCGCGCAUCGACUAUGCUCCCUUGGGCCAGAACCCACCACAUACGCACCCUCGCGCCACUGAGAUCCUCACGGUGCUUGAGGGGACACUGUACGUUGGCUUUGUCACAUCCAACCAGCCCGCCCCAAACAGAAACAAGUUCCUCUCCAAGGUGCUCAACAAAGGUGAUGUGUUUGUCUUCCCCGUGGGGCUCAUCCACUUCCAAUUCAACCCCAACCCCCACAAACCCGCCGUUGCAAUUGCUGCGCUUAGCAGCCAGAACCCAGGGGCUAUCACAAUUGCCAAUGCGGUGUUUGGGUCAGACCCACAAAUAUCCGAUGAUGUUCUUGCCAAGGCGUUUCAGGUGGAAAAGAAUACAAUAGACUGGCUCCAGGCCCAGUUCUGGGAGAACAACCACAACUAA
rnacentral:rRNA from 1 species